UACAGAGGGGGCAAGCGUUGUUCGGAAUUACUGGGCGUAAAGGGCGCGUAGGCGGCCUUCUAAGUCGAACGUGAAAUCCCCGGGCUCAACCCGGGAACUGCGUCCGAUACUGGAAGGCUUGAAUCCGGGAGAGGGAUGCGGAAUUCCAGGUGUAGCGGUGAAAUGCGUAGAUAUCUGGAGGAACACCGGUGGCGAAGGCGGCAUCCUGGACCGGCAUUGACGCUGAGGCGCGAAAGCCAGGGGAGCGAAUGGG
rnacentral:rRNA from 1 species